CAGCAGCCGCGGGAAUACAGAGGGUGCGAGCGUUAAUCGGAUUUACUGGGCGUAAAGCGUGCGUAGGCGGCUUCUUAAGUCGGAUGUGAAAUCCCUGAGCUUAACUUAGGAAUUGCAUUCGAUACUGGGAAGCUAGAGUAUGGGAGAGGAUGGUAGAAUUCCAGGUGUAGCGGUGAAAUGCGUAGAGAUCUUGAGGAAUACCGAUGGCGAAGGCAGCCAUCUGGCCUAAUACUGACGCUGAGGUACGAAAGCAUGGGGAGCAAACAGGAUUAGAUACCCCUGUAGUCCCUGUCUCUUAUAC
rnacentral:rRNA from 1 species